rnacentral:rRNA from 1 species
UCCGUAGGCGGUGUGGCAAGUCGGUAGUGAAAUCUCUCGGCUUAACUGAGAGGCUGCUGCCGAAACUGCCAUGCUCGAGUGCGAGAGAGGCGAGUGGAAUUGCGGGUGUAGCGGUGAAAUGCGUAGAUAUCCGCAGGAACAUCCGAGGCGAAAGCGGCUCGCUGGAUCGCAACUAACGCUGAGGGACGAAAGCUAGGGGAGCAAACAGGAUUAGAUACCCUGGUAGUCCUAGCCCUAAACCAUCAGGACUUGGGGUUUGCCCUGUACGGGGCAAGUCCCGGAGCUAACGCGUUAAGUCCUGCGCCUGGGGAGUACGGUCGCAAGGCUGAA